ACACAUGCAAGUCGAACGGCAGCAUGAUCUAGCUUGCUAGAUUGAUGGCGAGUGGCGAACGGGUGAGUAAUACAUCGGAACGUGCCCUGUAGUGGGGGAUAACUAGUCGAAAGAUUAGCUAAUACCGCAUACGACCUGAGGGUGAAAGUGGGGGACCGCAAGGCCUCAUGCUAUAGGAGCGGCCGAUGUCUGAUUAGCUAGUUGGUGAGGUAAAGGCUCACCAAGGCGACGAUCAGUAGCUGGUCUGAGAGGACGAUCAGCCACACUGGGACUGAGACACGGCCCAGACUCCUACGGGAGGCAGCAGUGGGGAAUUUUGGACAAUGGGCGAAAGCCUGAUCCAGCAAUGCCGCGUGUGUGAAGAAGGCCUUCGGGUUGUAAAGCACUUUUGUCCGGAAAGAAAUGGCUCUGGUUAAUACCUGGGGUCGAUGACGGUACCGGAAGAAUAAGGACCGGCUAACUACGUGCCAGCAGCCGCGGUAAUACGUAGGGUCCAAGCGUUAAUCGGAAUUACUGGGCGUAAAGCGUGCGCAGGCGGUUGUGCAAGACCGAUGUGAAAUCCCCGAGCUUAACUUGGGAAUUGCAUUGGUGACUGCACGGCUAGAGUGUGUCAGAGGGGGGUAGAAUUCCACGUGUAGCA
rnacentral:rRNA from 1 species